GACGAACGCUGGCGGCGUGCUUAACACAUGCAAGUCGAACGGAAAGGCCCUGCUUUUGUGGGGUGCUCGAGUGGCGAACGGGUGAGUAACACGUGAGUAACCUGCCCUUGACUGUGGGAUAACUUCAGGAAACUGGGGCUAAUACCGGAUAGGAGCUCCUGCUGCAUGGUGGGGGUUGGAAAGUUUCGGCGGUUGGGGAUGGACUCGCGGCUUAUCAGCUUGGUGGUGGGGUAGUGGCUUACCAAGGCUUUGACGGGUAGCCGGCCUGAGAGGGUGACCGGCCACACUAGGUUUGGGAUACGGCCCAGCCUCAUACGGGACGCAGCAGUGGAGAAGAUUGCACUGCGGGCGGAGGCAUAGUCCGGCGCCGCCAUGUCGGGUGUAUCGGGCUUCGCGUUGGAUACCGCUUUUGUUUGUGACGAAGCGUGAGUGACGGUAAUCGGUAAAGAAGCCCCGGCUAACUACGUG
rnacentral:rRNA from 1 species